UACGAAGGGGGCUAGCGUUGUUCGGAAUUACUGGGCGUAAAGCGCGCGCAGGCGGUCUUCCAAGUCAGUGGUGAAAGCCUGGAGCUCAACUCCAGAACUGCCAUUGAAACUGUUAGACUUGAGUACGAGAGAGGUGAGUGGAAUUCCCAGUGUAGAGGUGAAAUUCGUAGAUAUUGGGAAGAACACCGGUGGCGAAGGCGGCUCACUGGCCCGUAACUGACGCUCAUGCACGACAGCGUGGGGAUCAAACAGG
rnacentral:rRNA from 1 species